GUGGUACAUGCCAAAACAUCUACAUAUGCUGCACCAGGUGAUGCGACCCCUGUUUUAGGUGAUGUGACUUACUGUGGCAGGAUAAUUGAUAUUAUUCAGUUGAACUACUCUAGACAAUUAUCGGUGGAUUUAUUUAAGUGUGAAUGGGUUGAUAUUUCUGAAAAGGGAAUUAAAAAGGACAAGUAUGGCUACACACUUGUUAACUUCUCACAUUUGAUGCACAAAGGAGACAAGAUUGAGCAUGAGCCUUUUAUUUUGCCUAACCAAGCCGAUCAAGUGUUUUACCUAGAAGACGAACUGAACCCAGGUUGGUCAGUGGUGAUGCAGAAUAAACUACCUAGAGAUAGAUAUGACACUGGAAAUGAUGAAUGCACACGAGACGUAGAAGCUGAGCCAUUCCAUGUUUCUCACCUCACGGAUAUGUUUAAAACGAAAAGGAAAGAUCAACAUUGGGUAAGGUCUAAUAUUGAGGGAACAAUUGUGGAUGCUAAUGAUAAUUCUUUGAUCGAUGAAGAA
rnacentral:rRNA from 1 species